AUGGCGUCCGAGCAGCUGCUGCCAGCCGUGCCGAGGUGGAAGCCGAGCCCGCCGCGGCAGCAGAGCCGCCCGCACGACGACGAGGGGCCGUCCGGCACGGCCUCGGACGCCCUCGGCGGCUCUCUGCGCAGCACCGACGGCUUCCCGUUCGGCAGCGGGAGCUCCUUCCCGCCGCCGCCGUUCGCGCCGAUGCCGGUGACCCUGCCGCGGUCGCGAACGUCUUCCUCGCUCGAGAUCACUGUGGAGAACGGCGCCGCCGGUGCCCCCGCCGUUGUCCGCGAGGCCUCGUUGCGCCGGGUCGACCAGGGCGUCGUGCUCUCGUGGGAGGACCUGUGGGUGUCGGCCGCCGGCGGCAAGGCCGGCCGCGUCCCCAUCCUGCGCGGCCUCAACGGCUACGCGCGCCCCGGCGAGGUGCUCGCCAUCAUGGGGCCCUCCGGCUGCGGCAAAUCUACCCUUCUAGACGCUUUAGCAGGAAGGCUAGGCUCUGGUGUCAACCAGAAGGGAGACAUCUUGAUCAAUGGCCGGAGGCAGAAGCUAUCCUAUGGAACAUCGGCGUACGUGACGCAGGACGACGUGCUGAUGACGACGCUGACGGUGCGGGAGGCGGUGCGGUACUCGGCGUCGCUGCAGCUGCCGAGCGGCAUGUCGGCGGCGGCGAAGCGGGAGCGGGCAGAGGAGACACUGCGGGAGAUGGGGCUGGAAGGCGCGGCAGACACGCGCAUCGGCGGGUGGAUGCACAAGGGGAUCAGCGGCGGCCAGCGGCGCAGGGUCAGCAUCUGCAUGGAGAUCCUCACCCGGCCGGCGCUGCUGUUCCUGGACGAGCCCACCAGCGGCCUCGACAGCGCCGCCUCCUUCCACGUCGUCAGCCGGAUCGCCAGGCUCGCGCGCCGGGAGGGCAUGACCGUCGUCGCCGCCGUGCACCAGCCCAGCACCGAGGUCUACGGCCUCUUCCACGGGCUCUGCCUCCUCGCCUACGGCAAGACCGUCUUCUUUGGUCCCGCCGCCGAGACUAACCAGUUCUUUGCUCUGAGCGGGUUUCCUUGCCCGUCGCUAAUGAACCCUUCCGAUCACUUCCUGAGGACCAUCAACAAGGACUUCGACAACGACAUCGAGGAAGGCCUCCACGGGAAGAAGACGACCACCGCCGAGAACAUCGACGCGCUGGCGGUCUCCUACAAAUCAUCCAUGCAUAUGGACAAGGUGACUCGGCAGAUCGCCAACAUACGCAGCACUGGAGGGGAGGUGGUGAAGAUGGAAGGGCAGCAGCCGAGCUUCCUGAUGCAAUCCUUCGUGCUGACCAAGAGGUCUUUCACCAACAUGUACAGGGACCUCGGCUAUUACUGGCUCCGCUUCGCCAUCUACAUCGCCCUCUGCCUCUGCUGCGGCACCAUCUUCUAUGACAUCGGCCACAACUACGGAUCCAUCCAGGCUCGUGGCUCCAUGCUCAUGUUCGUCGGUGCCUUCCUCACCUUCAUGGCCAUCGGAGGCUUCCCAUCUUUCGUCGAGGACAUGAAGAUAUUUGGAAGGGAGAGGUUGAACGGGCACUACGGUGUCUCGUCGUUCGUGAUCGCCAACACAGUCUCGGCGACACCGUACCUGCUCCUAAUUUCCUUGGUGCCGGGUGCGAUUGCCUACUACCUGGUCGGCCUGCAGAGGAGUUUCGACCACUUCGCCUACUUCGCACUGGUGCUCUUCAUGACCAUGAUGCUCGUGGAGGGCCUGAUGAUGAUUGUGGCCAGCGCAGUGCCAGACUUCCUCAUGGGCAUCAUCACCGGCGCUGGCAUCCAAGGCGUCAUGAUGCUCAAUGGCGGUUUCUUCCGGCUGCCCCACGACCUGCCCAAGCCGGUGUGGAGGUAUCCCAUGUACUAUGUCGCCUUCCACAAGUAUGCCAACCAGGGGUUCUACAAGAAUGAGUUCCUUGGCCUCACCUUCCCGAACAACCAGGCUGGCGGCGCUGCCACCAUCACUGGCGACCAGAUCCUCAGGGACUACUGGCAGGUGGAAAUGGGGUAUAACAAGUGGGUCGACCUCGCGGUCCUGUUCGGGAUGGUCAUAUUGUACAGGGUGCUCUUCUUGGCCAUCAUGAAGCUUGCCGAGAAGGUGAAACCCAUGGUGAACGGGCUCAGGUUCAGGAGCACCCAGCCGUCGGUGCACAUCGCCGACCAGGGUUCCAAAGCAAAUGGAGCAAUGUGA
rnacentral:rRNA from 1 species